rnacentral:sRNA from 1 species
UUUUAGCCCCGAUAGUAGCGAAAAUCUUUUAUUUUUUUUCUUUAGAAAAAUAAAAGAUUGCAGCGAAUAGCGGGAAAUAGC